rnacentral:rRNA from 1 species
CUGUAUGGAAGGGCCAUCGCUCAACGGAUAAAAGGUACUCCGGGGAUAACAGGCUGAUACCGCCCAAGAGUUCAUAUCGACGGCGGUGUUUGGCACCUCGAUGUCGGCUCAUCACAUCCUGGGGCUGUAGCCGGUCCCAAGGGUAUGGCUGUUCGCCAUUUAAAGUGGUACGCGAGCUGGGUUCAGAACGUCGUGAGACAGUUCGGUCCCUAUCUGUCGUGGGCGUUGGAGGUUUGAGAGGGGCUGCUCCUAGUACGAGAGGACCGGAGUGGACGAAUCCCUGGUGUUCCGGUUGUCACGCCCGUGGCACUGCCGGGUAGCUAUAUUCGGAAGCGAUAACCGCUGAAAGCAUCUAAGCGGGAAGCGCGCCUCAAGAUGAGACCUCCCGGGCCACAAGGCCCCUGAAGGAACCAUGAAGACUACGUGGUUGAUAGGGUGGGUGUGUAUCGCAGCAAUGCCGAGCUAACCACUACUAAUGAUCCGUGCGGCUUGACCAUAUAACUCCAA